GGGGAUGUAGCUCAGUUGGUAGAGCGCCGCCUUUGCAAGGCGGAAGUCAGGGGUUCGAGCCCCCUCAUCUCCACCU
rnacentral:tRNA from 1 species